GGCUCUGUGGCGCAAUGGAUGGCGUGUUUGACUUCUAUUCAAAGGUUGUGGGUUCGAGUCCCACCAGAGUCG